rnacentral:rRNA from 1 species
AAUUUACUUGAUAUUGAUUUUUAUCCUACAUGGAUAACUGUGGUAAUUCUGGAGCUAAUACAUGCAUAAAAGCUGAAACCUUACGGUUUUGGUGCGGUUAUUAGAUCAAAAUCAAGCAUCUUCGGAUGUUAAUGAUUGACUUCAAGUAAUUACACAGCUGAUCGCAUGGUCUUGUACCGGCGACAAAUCAUUCAAGUGUCUGACCUAUCAACUUUCUAUAUAAGUAUAUAGUACUUAUAUGUUUUUGACGGGUAACGGAGAAUUAGGGUUCGACUCCGGAGAAAAUGCCUGAGAAACGGCGUUUACAUCCAAGGAAGGCAGCAGGGGCGAAAAUUACCCACUCUCAGUUCGAGGAGGUAGUGACGAGAAAUGACAAGGUUUAGUCCUUCGGGGCUGAACCAUUGGAAUGGUUUGAUUUUAAAAUCAUUAAAGAGUAUCAAUGAGAGGGCAAGUCUGGUGCCAGCAGCCGCGGUAAUUCCAGCUCUCAUACUGCAUUGAAUUGUUGUUGCGGUUAAAAAGCUCGUAGUUGGAUCUCUACACAAUAGGAUGGUUCACUCUUUGAG